rnacentral:tRNA from 6 species
CGGAGUGUAGCGCAGUUGGUAGCGCGCCUGCUUUGGGAGCAGGAUGUCGGGAGUUCGAGUCUCCCCACUCCGACCA